rnacentral:rRNA from 1 species
GACGAACGCUGGCGGCGUGCCUAAUACAUGCAAGUUGAGCGCUGAAGGUUGGUACUUGUACCAACUGGAUGAGCAGCGAACGGGUGAGUAACGCGUGGGUAAUCUGCCUUUGAGCGGGGGACAACAUUUGGAAACGAAUGCUAAUACCGCAUAAAAACUUUAAACACAAGUUUUAAGUUUGAAAGAUGCAAUUGCAUCACUCAAAGAUGAUCCCGCGUUGUAUUAGCUAGUUGGUGAGGUAAAGGCUCACCAAGGCGAUGAUACAUAGCCGACCUGAGAGGGGGGUCGGCCACAUUGGGACUGAGACACGGCCCAAAAUCCUAAGGGAGGCAGCAGGAGGGAAUCUUCGGCAAUGGGCGAAAGUCUGAACGAGCAAAGCCGGGUGAGUGAAGAAGGGUUUCGGAUCGGAAAACUCUGUUGGUAGAGAAGAAAGAUGGUGAGAGUGGAAAGCUCAUCAAGUGACGGUAACUACCCAGAAAGGGACGGCUAACUACGUG